GUGGAUUAGAUACCCUGGUAGUCCACGCCCUAAACGAUGAACACUCGAUGUUGGCGAUAUACGGUCAGCGUCUAAGCGAAAGCGUUAAGUGUUCCACCUGGGGAGUACGCCCGCAAGGGUGAAACUCAAAGGAAUUGACGGGGGCCCGCACAAGCGGAGGAGCAUGUGGUUUAAUUCGAUGAUACGCGAGGAACCUUACCCGGGCUUGAAAGUUAGUGAAUGGAGCAGAGACGCUCCAGUCCUUCGGGACACGAAACUAGGUGCUGCACGGCCGUCGCCAACU
rnacentral:rRNA from 1 species